AUGCAUUAUGGGAUACAUCCUCAAGUGUGUAUAGAGGAUGAGGUGUGGAAAAAUGAGAAUUUACCAAAUGUGAGACUGAGGGCUGUGACAGAGGUCAUUGACACACCUGAAGGCCUCCGUCUCGUGGCGGUCAACGGACAGGAUAUACCUUACAUGGGGUGGAUAGAAGUGACUUUUGGUUUGACAUUAAAUGAAAAGAAAGCGAAAGAACUCAUCAUACCUGUGUUGGUGAUGAAGGUCAGGCAGCUUUGUCAUCCUAUUAUCGGAUACAACGUGUUUGAGCUAAUGCUAAAUGACAAUGAAUUAUUUCGGCCAGCCACCAAUAAAUUUCUGAGAACAGUUCCCCCUAGUGUGGAAAGAGAGAAGGAGCAUGCUUUUGUUGAUCGAAUUCAUGCAGAAAUCCCAUGCGAAUAUCUUGUCAAAACGAGAAAGGAAAAUGUUCAGGUGCCAAAACACACAUCGGUACAAAUUGAAUGCAGAGUGCAGUCUCACCGACCAAAGGAAGACAUAUUGCUUAUCUUUGAGCCUGACGUUAACCCACAAUGGACCGAGGGGUUAGAAUUCUGCGAGACAAUAGUGACCCUGCAGAAGCAUACUUCUCCACACAUAAUCAUCAGUGUACAAAGUCCCACAGAUCAUGACCUAAUGUUACUGGGCAAGACGUUCAUAGGGACAGUACAACCAGUACAGUCUGUGUAUCCAACAGCUGCUUUUGAGAAUCAUGGCUUACCUUCUCUGAGGAUCAGUCAAAUAAAAACUGAAGCCAGCCAUGCCUCUGACACCACAUGGUUUCCGCCCGUCAACUUGAGCCAUCUCGGUGAGCCUGAAAAACAAGUUGUUCAACAAAUGUUAAAAGAGGAAGCAGCUUCAUUUUCCAAAUCUGAGACUGACAUAGGUUGCCUUGAGAGGCUGCAACUAGCCAUCUCACUGAAAGACACUACUCCUGUUGCACGUACAUAUCAGUCAGUACCUAAACCCCUCUACCAAAAAAAUGAAAGACUAUCUACAUGA
ensembl:lncRNA